rnacentral:rRNA from 1 species
ACCAAAUGAAUAAGCACCGGCUAACUCCGUGCCAGCAGCCGCGGUAAUACGGAGGGUGCAAGCGUUAUCCGGAAUCAUUGGGUUUAAAGGGUCCGCAGGCGGGCAUAUAAGUCAGUGGUGAAAGCCUACAGCUCAACUGUAGAACUGCCAUUGAUACUGUAAGUCUUGAAUUCGGUCGAAGUGGGCGGAAUGUGUAGUGUAGCGGUGAAAUGCAUAGAUAUUACACAGAACACCGAUAGCGAAGGCAGCUCACUAGGCCUGGAUUGACGCUUAGGGACGAAAGCGUGGGGAUCAAACAGGAUUAGAUACCCCUGGUAGUCCACGCUGUAAACGAUGAUUACUCGUUUUCGGCGAUAUACAGUCGGAGACUAAGCGAAAGUGAUAAGUAAUCCACCUGGGGAAUACGAUCGCAAGGUUGAAACUCAAAGGAAUUGACGGGGGCCCGCACAAGCGGUAGAGCAUGUGGUUUAAUUCGAUGAUACGCGAGGAACCUUACCAGGCUUAAAUGCAGAUUGCAUGAUGUGGAAACAUGUCAGU